CCUGGAUACACGCUUCACAUUGCAAAAAAGUGCCUGCUCCAGAAGAAGCUGAUCUUGUUGAAACAUGAAUUUAUUAUGUGUCUCGUGUUUUCUUAUAUUGUUGCAUUUUGCCUGGGCCCAACAAGUGGCCAUAACCAAAGAUAAUCAUGUUUACACUUUCUGGUACAAUUCUUCUGAUACUGAUGUAGCUACAUACACCUUUGAUUACUGUGACAUAGUUACCUGUACAUUCCCACAGACACAACAUGCAGCCAUAUACAAGGACAUACCUAACAAAAAGGACCCAUACAUUUGUGUGACUGGAGGAGCUUGGGGACACCACUGUAGUUCAUGGAAAGCUGCCGGGUGGAAUACAGGUAGACCAUGGGGCUACAGACCUCAGGUUGCACUAGACAGACUUGACAAAGACGGGAAGCCCC